rnacentral:rRNA from 1 species
GACGAACGCUGGCGGCGUGCUUAACACAUGCAAGUCGAACGGUAAGGCCCUUCGGGGUACACGAGUGGCGAACGGGUGAGUAACACGUGGGUGAUCUGCCCUGCACUUCGGGAUAAGCCUGGGAAACUGGGUCUAAUACCGGAUAGGACCACUGCCUGCAUGGGUGGUGGUGGAAAGCUUUUGCGGUUGUGGGAUGGGCCCGCGGCCUAUCGGCUUGUUGGUGGGGUGAUGGCCUACCAAGGCGACGACGGGUAGCCGGCCUGAGAGGGUGACCGGCCACACUGGGACUGAGAUACGGCCCAGACGCCUACGGGAGGCAGCAGUGGGGAAUAUUGCACAAUGGGCGCAAGCCUGAUGCAGCGACGCCGCGUGAGGGAUGACGGCCUUCGGGUUGUAAACCUCUUUCAGCACCGACGAAGCGCAAGUGACGGUAGGUGCAGAAGAAGGACCGGCCAACUACGUGCCAGCCGCCGCCGUAA